rnacentral:rRNA from 1 species
UACAGAGGUCUCAAGCGUUGUUCGGAUUCAUUGGGCGUAAAGGGUGCGUAGGUGGCGCCGUAAGUCGGGUGUGAAAUUUCGGAGCUUAACUCCGAAACUGCAUUCGAUACUGCGGUGCUUGAGGACUGGAGAGGAGACUGGAAUUCAUGGUGUAGCAGUGAAAUGCGUAGAGAUCAUGAGGAAGACCAGUGGCGAAGGCAGGUCUCUGGACAGUUCCUGACACUGAGGCACGAAGGCCAGGGGAGCAAACGGG